GCCUGAGUGGCUCAGUUGAUUAAGCAUCUGACUUUGGCUCAAGUCACGAUCUCACAGUCUGUGGGUUUGAGCCCUGCCUCAGGCU
rnacentral:tRNA from 1 species